rnacentral:rRNA from 1 species
GAUGAACGCUAGCGGCAGGCCUAAUACAUGCAAGUCGAACGGUGUCUUCGGACAUAGUGGCGCACGGGUGCGUAACACGUAUGCAACCUACCUUACAUUGGGGGAUAGCCUUUCGAAAGGGAGAUUAAUACCGCAUAAGACAGUAGCUGGGCAUCCAGCAGCUGUUAAAGAUUUAUCGAUGUAAGCUGGGCAUGCGUCCAAUUAGCUAGUUGGUGAGGUAACGGCUCACCAAGGCAAUGAUUGGUAGGGGAACUAAGAGGUCAAUCCCCCACACUGGCACUGAGAUACGGGCCAGACUCCUACGGGAGGCAGCAGUGGGGAAUAUUGGGCAAUGGACGCAAGUCUGACCCAGCCAUGCCGCGUGCAGGAUGAAGGCGUUAUGCGUUGUAAACUGCUUUUAUACAGGAAGAAACGACUCUUGCGAGAGGCAUUGACGGUACUGUAUGAAUAAGCACCGGCUAACUCCGUGCCAGCAGCCGCCGUAACAC